UAGCAAAUAGGACAUUCAAGCACUUCUUCAGCUUUCGUCAUAAACUGCAAAAAAAACGUUCAAUCAUCCUUUCCUUUUUUCGCACUGUGCUGACAAUAAGAAUCCUUUACUUGAUACAGUAUCUAUGAACCAAGGAGAAAAGUACGAAUGACGUGCGAAGUCAGUCAAGCAAAGACAAUGUACCACGUGAAAAACAUUCGACGAUCGAGUGUCUCGACGUUGGCCGGUAUCUACACUAUAAAAAAUACUUUUGUAAAAUCAUGGACCUAUUAUGAGAGCAAUGAAAUCGCUAGCAACUAGUAAAUUUACUAGUCUAUUGUAGUAAUACUUUUAUAAUCGAGAUAGUACUUUUACAACGAGAUAGUAUUUUUACAACGAAAACUAAGAUUUCGGCUAUCGUAAAAUUAAUUGUCUGACAGUGGGACACAAAGCAGACCUAGUCUCCGAGACGUCAUUUUAUAAGAUGAAUUAUAAAUUUACUAGAAUUUGUAAUUUUACUUUUAUGAGACUAAAGUACUACACUUGAAGUUAGAUCUCAGUUAUAAUUUUACUAUUGGAUAUUUAUUAUACAAAAGUAUUUUUUACAGUGUAGGUGUAUUGACGGUUGUGUCGAUGAACAAAAGUGCGAAUAAUACUUGCCGGACGAUCAAAUGAAAUAGUCAAUUGUUUUUGUAAAAUUAAAAAACUUUUACUUCCAAAUCUGCCUUUGUCGUCAAAAU